GACGAACGCUGGCGGCGUGCUUAACACAUGCAAGUCGAACGGAAAGGCCCCCACCUUGGUGGGGGUGCUCGAGUGGCGAACGGGUGAGUAACACGUGGGUGAUCUGCCCUGUACUUCGGGAUAAGCUUGGGAAACUGGGUCUAAUACCGGAUAGGACCAUGGUUUAGUGUCUCAUGGUGGAAAAAUUAUUGUUUUGGUGCAGGAUGAGCUCGCGGCCUAUCAGCUUGUUGGUGGGGUAAUGGUCUACCAAGGCGUCGACGGGUAGCCGGCCUGAGAGGGUGGACGGCCACAUUGGGACUGAGAUACGGCCCAGACUCCUACGGGAGGCAGCAGUGGGGAAUAUUGCACAAUGGGCGCAAGCCUGAUGCAGCGACGCCGCGUGGGGGAUGACGGCCUUCGGGUUGUAAACUCCUUUCGUUAGGGACGAAGCCACACCUUUUUUGGGUGUGGUGACGGUACCUUUGUGAAGAAGCACCGGCUAACUACGUG
rnacentral:rRNA from 1 species